rnacentral:rRNA from 1 species
GAUGAACGCUGCCAGAAUGCUUAACACAUCAGCAAUUGAUUGGUGGCGGACGGGUGAGUAACGCGUAAAGAACUUACCUCACAGUUAGGGACAACAUUUGGAAACGAAUGCUAAUACCUAAUACUGUGAGAGAGCUUUGCGUCCCAUUAGCUAGUUGGAGAGGUAACGGCUCACCAAGGCGAUGAUGGGUGGCCGGCCUGGUAGGGUGAUCGGCCACAAAGGGACUGAGACACGGCCCUUACGCCUACGGGAGGCAGCAGUGGGGAAUAAUGGACAAGGGACCAAAGUCUGAUCCAGCAAUUCUGUGUGCACGAUGAAGGUUUAGGAAUGUAAAGUGCUUUCAGUUGGGAAGCGGUACCAACAGAAGAAGUGACGGCUAAAUACGUGCCAGCAGCCGCGGUAAUUC